AGGGCCAUAGCUCAGUGGUAGAGCAUCUGCUUUGCAUGCAGAAAAGGCCCCAUGUUCAAUCCCUGGUGGCUCCA